AAUACAUAUUAACUACCCUUCCGGAUUACCAAGCUUAGACAUUAAAAAUAUUCAUAACCCUACAUGUCAAUUGAAGCACAAAUGGCCGGAAGUAGAUCAAAAGUAAUUAAAGACUUGCCCUGAUAAUCCAGAUGACGUCCUGUCGGUGGGGAGCAAAAGAUAAAAUCUUUUGCACCCACUGAACUACACGUCAACUUGGUUCGCUUGGGGCUGACAUUU
rnacentral:snoRNA from 1 species